rnacentral:rRNA from 1 species
AUUGAACGCUGGCGGCAGGCCUAACACAUGCAAGUCGAGCGGCAGCGGGAAAGUAGCUUGCUACUUUUGCCGGCGAGCGGCGGACGGGUGAGUAAUGCCUGGGAAAUUGCCCAGUCGAGGGGGAUAACAGUUGGAAACGACUGCUAAUACCGCAUACGCCCUACGGGGGAAAGCAGGGGAACUUCGGGCCUUGCGCGAUGGGAUGUGCCAGGGUGGGAUUAGCUAGUUGGUGAGGUAAUGGCUCACCCAGGCGACGAUCCCUAGCUGGUCUGAGAGGAUGAUCAGCCACACUGGAACUGAGACACGGUCCAGACUCCUACGGGAGGCAGCAGUGGGGAAUAUUGCACAAUGGGGGAAACCCUGAUGCAGCCAUGCCGCGUGUGUGAAGAAGGCCUUCGGGUUGUAAAGCACUUUCAGCGAGGAGGAAAGGUUGAUGCCUAAUACGUAUCAACUGUGACGUUACUCGCAGAAGAAGCACCGGCUAACUCCGUGCCAGCAGCCGCCGUAAGAC